rnacentral:sRNA from 1 species
GCGGAAGGAUCAUUAUUGAUACCAUAUUGUGUCGUGCCAUGUCAGAUAUGAUAUACAACCGCUAGUGUUGUCAUAUGAAUGAUGUUAUACAUAAUGCAAUAACUUUUAGCAACGGAUCUCUUGGCUCUCGCAUCGAUGAAGAACGCAGCGAAAUGCGAUAAGUAAUGUGAAUUGCAGAAUUCAGUGAAUCAUCGAAUCUUUGAACGCACCUUGCGCCCUCUGGGUUUACCCUGGGCAUGCUGGAUUGUGAGCGCCUUUUAUAUCUUGCCUAUGGCAGAGUUGAGCGUGUUGCCGGCUUGCCGGCUCGCUCUAAAUGCAUGAGCGACCCUAUGCUCGAAGCAACGUGAUAAGUAUUUCGUUGUGGAGAGACUAAGGACGCUUCGAAUCGUCCUAGGACACUUUCGAAUGCGAGGCAUCAGUCUAGUAGGAUUACCCGCUGAACUUAAGCAUAUCAAUAAGCGGAGGAAAAGAAACUAACAAGGAUUCCCCUAGUAACUGCGAGUGAAGCGGGAAAAGCUCAAAUUUGUAAUCCGUCCCCCGACGGAGUUGUAAUCUAGAGAAGUGUUUUCGGCCGUUGUCUCGGAUAAGUCCCCUGAAACAGGGCGUCAUAGAGGGUAACAAUCCCGUCCUUACCGAGGUCGCAAUGUCUAUGUGAUACACUCUCGAAGAGUCGAGUUGUUUGGGAAUGCAGCUCAAAAUGGGUGGUAAAUUCCAUCUAAAGCUAAAUAUUGGCGAGAGACCGAUAGCGAACAAGUACCGUGAGGGAAAGAUGAAAAGCACUUUGGGAAGAGAGUUU